rnacentral:rRNA from 1 species
UACGGGGGGUGCGAGCGUUGUCCGGAAUCACUGGGCGUAAAGGGCGCGUAGGUGGUCUGAUAAGGGUGUGGUGAAAGUCCGGGGCUCAACCCCGGAUCUGCCGUGCCGACUGCCAGACUCGAGGACUGUAGAGGCAGGCGGAAUUCCGGGUGUAGCGGUGGAAUGCGUAGAGAUCCGGAGGAAGACCGGUGGCGAAGGCGGCCUGCUGGGCAGUUACUGACACUGAGGCGCGACAGCGUGGGGAGCAAACAGG